UAUUCUUCCGAGUAGCUGAUAGUUUGGUGGCCAGAAAGCUUGCCUGGGAUGCAGGAUUCUGACAUUCAGACAUCUUGCAGAACAGAAACUUGAAAUCUGGACUCCUGUGCCACCAGUCAGUGCCUUGAUCAUAGGAUGAUUAUCUGGGAGGGGUGACAGUUUUCUUGCUCUUUGAUGUAUUUCAAGUCUCAUCCUAGGCAUGAGAACCUUUCCCAGGUAAGAGCUUCGUAAGAACUGCUGACAUUGAUAUGAAACCGGGGCAUAAAACCAGGAGCCUGAUGUGUGAUCUGUUGCCAGUUGCCUUCAAACUACCACAACUGAUGAGGAAAAAAAGAGAGGAAGUGGAUGGAGAAAUGGGACAGGUCAUCUGGACUCUGAUAAUUAAUGUUCCUUAGAAUAUAAAAGUUUUGAAACUUUCCUGGAAAUGAAGUUUUAUGAUCUGCUACAAUGGCCCACAGGGGGGAUGCUGCAACCUACACAUAUUGACAAUUGUGGUAUUACCAGGCAAUUCAUUUUUAUGAGUAAUUUCCAGAGCAACCCUCAACCAUGCAGUCACGCAUACAGUGCAACAGUGUGCCAUAGAAGAAAGACUCAGCUGGAGGCCACAGAUUAUACAGAUUUAUUAAUAUUUGGGAAAAAGAUCCUAACAGCAGAAAGCAAAUUGAGCAACAGAGGGGGGAAGAAGGAAUGGACUUGACAACAAAGCAAGCUCUGUAAGGAUGUGAUCCAGAGCACAGUGAACUCAAUGGAAAGAUUUCCAUUGAUUUCUUAAGAUCUUAGAUAGAUCUCAAGGGGACAGAGACACUCCGUCUUAUACCUUCCCCCCUCCUUUCUCCAUCUGAAUGGAAAAUACAUUCUUUCCUGUUCACAACUAGCAUCAUUUAGUGACCAAACAUCACAAACAAAAGGUUGAUCAUCCUUGGGAUGUUAGAACCAAGAAUCCCUACCUAAGCAGCCCCAGAACUGGCUUGACUUUUCCAAGGACUGAGCACCUCUCAAAUUCUCUCUAACAGUACCUUUGUCUUUCUAUUAGACUCAGAAUAGUCUUACCCUGUACUUAACUUUGCAAACCCACUCUGCUUUCUCUUUUAAAACACAGAGAAUAAUGGAGCAGUUGGAUCUAUAAUCUUGUUUCUCUUAAAUCCUUCUCCAUAAACACUUCUUGUAAAGGUAAUGACCCGUUUAGUCGUCUUCUAUUUAUGUCUAGUCUAAGUAGUUAUAGCUGUUACUUUUAAACACCUAUUAAAUACUUUAGUAGUUCUUAAACCAUGCCAAGGAAUACUUGGAACAAAAGAACAAUGAACAGAGAUGACUGAAAAUGAAGUUGUAGAACUGAAUUUGAUUAUAUAUCAUUCAGAAGAAAAAAAUAGUUCUGUCAAAGUCCCUGUUAAGGUCUGUUAGAGAAAGUGAUAUACUUUGCACUAAGUGAGGCUACAUAGAUCAUGAAUCAUGGCCCCAAGUGAUAUAUCUCCAAGAUCAGCUUGGUUAUCUACUUUCAAAAUCCUUCCUUCUAUGGGAACAAAAGUUUGCUGCCUAAUGUAAGUAGUGUUUGACAAACUCAUCCUGCUGUGAUAGCAAGUCUUAUUUCACCCUACACACUGAAGAACAUAAUUUAUCUUAACACUAGGCAUUGAGCAACGCUAGCUGUGGGGAAGUAGAACGACUAGGGUUUCCUUUUACUAGUGAACUCAGUUGAAAUCGGCAGUCAAGCCAAGCCUGGUUUAAGUACUCUGUUGGUUCCUUAACGUGAUGUGAAAGACCAAGGCUGCUUUAUUGCAGUGGGUGGGUAAGUUACCAGCAAGACAUGUUGAGAUGAGGAGCUGGUGACAACACACAGAAAAAGAAACCCCCAUUAUUCCCCAUCACUUUGGAGAUACAAGAAUAAACUUCCUUAUAGAGAAAACCAGGACAUUGUUGGUGGAGAACGCUGAACAGAGCGUCCUACUGUAGUCGUAUGUUUGAGUCAGGGCCUAGCCGUGGUGCAAUUCAGGGUUAAAGAUGAUGCCUUGUUCUUUAAGGAGGACCAGUAGUACUCUCAAUAGCUUCACUAUGCAAGCCUGAUUACUUUGUAUAAACUAUGCAUGCUUUGCUAACGACUAUGUCCUCGAGGAGGGAACUAAAGACUGAUAAGAGGAAACAUUCUGCCCCAGAAGGCACCGAAGGCCGGAUGACUGCCAAAGAAGCACAAACUAAAGGAAAGGUAAAGGUGGCAGGGGGAGAUCGGGACCACCAACUCAAUUCCAGGCUGGAAGAACUUGCCUCACCCCACCUGCAAGGAGCAGGUGUGCUAAUUUACAUAACAAGCAAAGUUAAUUUAAAUAUAACUGACCAAUAAUAGAUGAGAGGGUGACUACUAACCAAUGAAUGUAAACUUAGGCGGGUUUUUGCUAAUUAUGUAACAGAAUAAAUAUGUUGUAGUUCUUUGGUGUGGUGUGCCAGCUUUGUGGAGUCACCAGCUGGCACCCAUCUCUGCGCAGACAUGAAAUAAAUAAGUAUCUCGGCUCUGUAA